GUUUUUAUUACUAUAUACCCAAUUCCCUCAGCAGCUGAACUUGCCUUUUCCAAAGUUCCUUCUUUAUUUCACCUGCCACAAAAAUAUGUGCCUUUUACAAUAUAGAACCUAUGGUCCUGCCAGUUCGAAUUUUUUCAGUGACUUCCCACUCUUCAUGAAUUUCAAAACACAUUAGGCUAGUGACUAAGACAACACACGGAAUGUCUUUAGCCUAGCUUUUCAGCACUAUAUGCUACAAAGAUGCUAAUCUGGACUAGUGCACCUACACACGCAGAUCAUGAAUCAUCGACAGAAUUUCACUGUUGUUGACCAGGCUAGAGUAUGAUGGUGCAAUCUCUGCUCACUGCAACCUCUGCCUCCCACUUCAAGCAAUUCUCCUGUCUCAGCCUCCUAAGUAGCGGGGAUUACAGGCACCCACCACCAUGCCCAGCUAAUUUUUUGUAUAUUUAGUAAAGACAGGGUUUUAUCAUGCUGACCAGGCUGGUCUUGAACUUCUGAUCUCAGAUAAUCCGGCUGCCUCGGCCUCCCCAAGAGCUGGGAUUAAAGGCGUGGGCCACCAUGCCCAGACAGGUUUGGGACCCUCUCGCUGGACAAGAUUCCCGGGCUCGCGUUCAGUUCACAACAGCUGGUGCCCCGAACGUGGGACCUGGACAUGAGGGAUAACCGUGACGCCUACAAACUUUAGA